AAUGAGAUGCCUGAUUAAAGGGUUAUCGUGAUAGGAUAAAUCAAGUAAAUUAUAUUUACUCUCAUUA
rnacentral:tRNA from 3 species